AGGACCACCUGCCCAGAGGUGACACUGCUUACAGUAGACUAGGACCUCCUGCCUCAAUCAUUAAUCAAGAAGAUGCCAGCAGACUGAUUUCUGGAGUUUCUAUAAGGACUUAGCAUCCAUGUCUUACGUGCUAGACUGCCUUUAGCGCUUCUUAACAUUGUCCAUGGCCAUUACAACAUCAAAAAGAGGCCCGAGCCAAACGCUCUUCAUAGGAAACUGG